UGAUUUCCUUCAGCCACAUGAAAUGGAGGCAUAUAUAUGAGGUCUUAUCCCCAACUUGGCACAAUUACGUGAUAUGCCAGAAGCCUUUGUUCAAAUGUAUUGUCGUAUUGUUGCACACAAAUUUUUCUUCUUUUGUGAUCCUCAUAGGCGAGGAAAAGCUUGCAUCAAGAAAGUGUUGCUUAGUAAUUGUCUCCAAGAACUAAUGGAGCUUCACCAGGAAAGUGAAAAAGUCACAAACACAUAACAAGCUGAAAACUGGUUCUCUUCGACUUCUGCUCAACGUAUUUGUGGUGCUUUAUUGAA